UUUUGUUCGAGCGUGAACUUCUUUGCGGAUUACGACGAAAAUGAUGAGAGGCCGUCAGAACAGGCCAUCUUUUGGGACACGGGUCAUUCCAAAGGGCGUUUGAAACAAAUCGAGCUGACCAUACGGCCGAAAGACACGAACUACAACGCCAGCAUGACCAAUUAUUUCGAGAACUACCGAACUCGUUGGAAAUCAACGAAUACGGCACCGUCUAUACGUAUAAGUGCAAUAAAGGACUGGAACUGAGCGGUGGUCAAACCGAGGUGAAGUACACUUGUGGGUGGGACAGUCUAUGGCAAGCCUCCCAAGAUAUUAGCAAUUUUCAAUGCGAAUGGAAGAGGUGCACAGAACCGCCUUUGCUGGAUCCAAGUAAUAACAUGGAAGUCAAAGAUUGGAGAUACGAUGGUGUGCCUGUACAAGCAAAUGUGGUGACCAUUGGUUGCAAACGAAACUGGAAAGAUGACAACGGCCAGGACAUAGACAUCCAGGCAUCUUGCCAAGCGGAAAAACAGAUUUGACAUACCUGCAACUGUCAACAACACGAUGUGCCUCGAGACUCAAACCUGCCAAGGAUUACCGAAUAUUCCGCUCAAUGGCACAGCCAUCGUGACAUCGCACGGCCAAAAGUUCGGUCCGAUUUGCGAUGACCAAUCAGGGACGACGAGGACCUUUGAGGGGCUGCUCAUUCAUUCAAGCCAGCCAAUCCAAAGUGGAAAACGGGAGAGUGAAAUACACCUUCGAAAUAACCAAUAGCUUGAACGGCCAGUUGAAGAUGAUUGUUCCCAUCAUGACAUUUUCAUCACCAACAACGGCAGUGCCUUCGCUCAGUAUUUCAUCAGGAGAAGUGCUUCUAAGGGGGCAAACGAAAAUGUCAUCGCCAUAAAGCUGCCAGUUGAUCUACCCUCUAGUCAAAAACGAAUGUGACAUUCGAGCUGGACUUUGACGAGGACGGAUUCUAUUCCAUCUGCAUAGAGGACAUGACUUGCCCGACGUGCUCAAGCGAUGGAGAAUGUCAAAAACUUAGUGUUGAUGCAGAACAAGUAUUGA